AUUAAAGCCUGCAAGCAAUAAAAUCUUGAAACAAUACUUGAGAAGAUAGGAAUACUUCAGAAGAAUCAAGAUGGCGAAUCAAAGUGUUAUCUGAUCUGGUUCAAAAGCCAAAAAACUACUGCUGAACAACUGGCUAUAUUUGACUCUCUCAAUGCCAGUGAGUCACCCACACAGAUUCUUAUAUUAUUGUUAAAUCCUUCAGUUUACUGGAACAUUUCAUGAGAAUGUACCACAGGAAAUAAUCCCUCAUGCUCUGUGAUAAUGCUUAUUGCUUAGAAUUUCAUUGAAAUUCCAAAAGAAAAAGAAGGUAAAACAGACUUCAUUCUCCACAAUAAUUUUAUAUCUGGAAUUGGCUUUGGGAUAGGUCAGAAGGGAAAACAAAGUUGAUCAGAAAUGUUAAAGAAACACAUCUAUUUAGAUACGUAUGUAUCAUAAAUGAAAGAUUUCCAGCACCCCUACCUGAACUGGUUUAUAGUUCACAACUGCCCAACUAUCCUACCAUCUUAGAACUCACAACUAUCUCAUUUAAAAGUAAAAUAAAACAACCAGAAAGUAAACUUUGUAUUUCUUACCACUAUAUUCAUCCAGCACUGACUUUCGAUUCACAGUGUUGUAACCUAAGACACAGUUUUGUUCUAAGCUCUGUCCAGCGUUUUACAGAUUCUCCUCUAACAAGCAAUCUCUCUCUAUCCUCAAGAGAGUUUAUAACAGAAGAAAACUGCUUGGUUUAGUUAAGAGUUUUUUCACACAAAGGCAAAGAUAGACACCCACCAAAGUCUCUUUUUGUUAUCUCUCCUGAAGGCUAUAAUAAUGUCACGUCAUCGUGGCUUGUCUCACAGCAGCCGGAAAUAUGCCUGUCACUGAUGCAACUCGAGUCACAGAAUAUUUGUUUUUCCUUCUGCGUCACUUGCACCAGUAAUAAACUAAAGUAACCUACAAUAGACAAGCUCCUGCUUUUUGCUUUUCUCUUUAAAACACUAGGUCUGAGAAUACAGACACAUUCCAAAGUGCUUGCUGUAAAGGAGAGGAGUGGGUGGGGAAUAAAAGCAAAUAGCUAACAUUUUAAGUCACAAACUGUUCAGAACCUCUUUUAAAGCAAUUGGAAUGGAACAUUUAGAUUUGAUAUUCUGGCUCUAACCAAUCUCAGACAGCAUUUCACCUGCCACUGCUUCUCCCUCCAAUAGAAAUUAGUGUUUAGAAUGAAAGCCCUCCCCAGCCAAUCAUGUGCAAGCUCAGGCACUCAGUUAAUGAUGCAGCAGUACAGGGAAGACUAUCACAUGUGAGCUGGAAGGCUGCCAACAUGGAGACACGCAGAGAGAAAGCUUAAUUUGAAUGAUAUUUGGUGUACUGGUCUCCAUUCCAUUGUGUAAAGUUCAAUGCAGACUUCUACAACUGGUGAAUUCUGUUAGGUAAAUUUCAGCUUGUUAUCCUACAACUAAAGUGUGGGGGUGGGGUUGGGACUCAGAUACAAGGCAAGGACACAUUAGCGGAUGUUGAGACGUGAGGUACUGAGCUUUGUACAUCCAUGUCCUGAGUUAACCCAAAGUCCUAGUUUCCAUAGGUAACCGUAGCAACCUGAAUUCUCAUAGCAUGGGGCCUGUUUAGCUGAUUACCGCAGAGAGGGCCUAAAAUCAUAUCCUUAGUCAUCUUUAGUGUUUCAAACAUGUGUAUGAAUGUCCUCUCCUUGUUUCAUUAAAUUGUGUAAUUAAAAUACAAAAUAAAUUGAAAAAAGGGUAGUGCAUAAGAUUACCAAUGAAGAUACUAUAAUAAUAUGAAUUCUAAGCAAUAUAACUGGUUACUUGGCAACCAGAAAGAGGUAUAUUAGGAAAAAAAAUGAAUUACAAUUAUAGAAGUGGUUAUUCUCGCAGCCUUUAGAGAAGGCUUUUGAAAAAGAGCUUUCUUAGUGAUCUGAUCUAGGAAAAUAAGCAGAAAUUAUGUUUACAAAACAAGCAUUUGCUAUUUCCAGUUAAAUACUUUGGUUUUAUUACCUGUUAGCCACACAGGGAAAGCACAUGGAGAACCCUCCAAUUUGAGGCCUGUUUUAUCCUUUUUGUUGUUUAUUUUCUUCUGUUAAGAACAAACCAGACAACAGUCCUAUGAUAAUAGCUACUCAUUUUUAAAGAUAGCAAAGGCAAAUCUAUAUAGAGAUGCCUCUACAAUAUCAAUACCCUAGUCUUCAAUGGUGGGUUGCCAAUCUUUUUACUACCCGUUCGGGAGUGCUCACGCGUGCCGCUUCUGCACAUGCACAGAAAUGUCCGCCCGGGUGGGUGGAGUCUCCCGCCGCCGCUACUACUGGUUCGCCCGAUCCGGGCAGAACUGGGAGCAAACCACCUCUGCUACUCUUUAAAAAACAGUUGUAUAUCACUUGUGCAGAUAUGUACACAGAUAUUUUUAUAUUGCUACAAAACGUUCAAAUGUACAAUAUGGCCUUUCUGUUUAAAAGCUGUUUGUAUCUGGAAAUUUUCUAUAAACAUUAUCUAACUUCCUCCACUCAGUAAGUUCCAUUUUCUUCUGAAACAUCCAACUAACCAUACACUUGGAAACUGCUAUAAAUGGGAGCUGCACCAGUUACCGAAGAGCCCUAUCUAUCCAAAAAACCUUGCUGGUAAAUCCAUGAGGGAAAUGUUGAAUUGACUAAAUUAGAUCCCUGGUAGAAACUUGCCCAAUGCUGAAGUGUUACCUCCUUUCUACAGGUAAAUAUUUCAGCUCUUCUGUAGUGUAUUUGCCAACAACUCUAUCUUGUUUACUAACAGAUCCAAAAAUAAUAAAAUCUCUAAUACUGUAACUUAUUCCAAGUUUUCUUUUCUCUUUUCAGCAUAUUCCAUUGGUUCCUUUAUUGUACUUUUCCUAAGUCUAGCCAAAGAACCACUCAAUUCUUUAUAGUCUUUAUUCAAAACAUUGCAAUUGCUUACUUAUCCUUUCUUCUCUGACUUCCACUGUCAAACUUGUAAUUUGGUACAGGUUUGAUUGGGGUUCACUUAACAUUGAAGUACUUUUCCUGGGAUUCUUACUAUUCUAUUGGGGGGGGGCUAAUCCCUUUACAUAGCACAGUCCUUCACUUCCGUUCAUGACUCAUUUCAAUCCUUUAUUUGCUUACUACUCAAAGCACCUAGUGAAUAUGAAGACCCAUACAUACAUUAGUAAAACUGUCACUGAUAACGCCUUUAAUAUCUUUUCUGGUGGGAUGAUAUCCUAUAAUAAGUAACUAUAUAGUAGUUAGGCCAAGAAUGUAAGGUUCAAACAGCUAAAUAUUUAUUUGGAUACAACAUUUGGAUAUAUUUAAAGCACACCUGAACAGAGAAAGCAACCUGUCUAUUUUUGGCAUCGGUUAUGAAUGCUAUGGUCCCUUUGACCAUAGCAAAUUGAAUGAAAUAUCUAAAACAACUCCUGUGAAAUAAUGAAUGAUGCAAAGUAUCAAAACAGUGGGAGAAAAACAAGAUUUGUAUCAAUUUUAUAUAAUUCUCAUUCAUAUUCAUCAUUUAAAUUUUAUUCAUUAAAGCAUAGAACCUAAAAAUUAUAUAAAGAGAAAUAAGCAUUUUUUCUUCCUAAGAAACAGCAAAAAAAUAAUGUAUAGCUUAGGAGUAGAAGCCAUUAUUGCCCAAUAUAAGUGAUACAUUCCAUUUUUCCUAUCCUUCACUUUUGGCCUGGUCUUUUGCAGGCAGUACUGAUGCAGAAAGUAGAGUAAUUAGACUCCUUACAAGACUACAAAAUUUCCCCCUUGGAGCUGACACACAGCUAUGGAACAUCACGUAGAAAGCAGCAGUAUAAAUAUAGUUAAACAUGAGGGGGAAUCAAAUUGAUUCCAAAACUGAAACAAUCAGUUUCCAAUAUUUCAUGAAAAAGUCACAUUCUAAUCAAACACACAGCAUUUCAAUUAUUUGUUUUUUAUACUGUACCUUUGGCUUUAUUUGAUAUAAACAAAAUAGGUUAGAGUGGAACAGAAGAAACUGACCAGGCAAGCAUUUACCUUGUCUCAAGGAAUUAGUUGCAAGAAAGACCCCUUCCCCAUUAUAAAGAAUCAUUAUGGUGAGGAAAUCCUAUCACAUUUAAAUGAUAUAAAUAUUUGAAAAUGGAAGUAUUCAUUUACUAUAGCUUUUCUGCUUUUUAUAUGUAUUACAGAGAUUUUUUUUUAAUUUUCAAUUGAUUCUAUCAUAAAACAGACAACGUAUUUGUUGAGCAUCAUGAGACCAUUUAAAUACUCACAGUAAUGUGUACAUAGCACUAAAAGCCUCAUUUACCCAGGCUUUUGGUAACAAAAUGAGAUCCCUCACUUGAUUGCACUUCUAUUUUUGAGAGAUGGAUGGCACAUAAGUUGAAUAAAUUAUUAUUAUUUAGGAAAUAAGGAAAUAAGUCAGAGUUCUUAAUAAAACCAUAUUAUUUUAUAUUAAAAAGUCAAUCAUAUUGAAAGCAAGAAUACAAUUGGAGCUUGAAGCAUAAAUCAUAAUAAAAAUAUGUACAAAACAAAAUUUUAAAAUGCUUUGUUCUGGACCUGUAAUAAAAUACUAUCUUUUAAAAGAUUCCCCCAGAAUGCUAUUGCUGUGCUUGGAAUGUUUUAAGUGCUACAGUCACAGAAAAUAAUUGGAACCCAGAACUGUUGUUCCAAUGAUUUAUUCCUUAAGGUCAUAAUGUUUGCCAGGGGCAGGGGAUUAUUGCUUUUUAUUGUUUUUAUAUUGGGUUUUAUCUUUAAAAGCAACACAGAAUCAAUGAGAUUGGGCAGCCAUAUAAAUUUUCAUUUGAGAGCAGGAGAAGAGGUAGCAGUUGAAGUCUUU